rnacentral:lncRNA from 1 species
UAUACCCAAUGCUUAGAAUCACUUAAUUUAAACAGAUUCACUGGCACUUCGCCUGAUAGGCUUAUAGUCUAAUUCCGUUCACCGGCACUUAGCCUGCUAGGCCUAUAGCCUGAUUUAGUUCACCGGCACUUAGCCUGCUAGGCUUGUAGCCUGAUUCAGUUCACCGGCACUUAGCCUGCUGGACGUAUAGUCCGAUUCAAUUCACCGGCACUUAGCCUGCUAGACGUAUAGUCUGAACAAUUU